GUCUAUGAGUAUAUAGACUAAGAAUCUCCUUGUUUAGGCUGGGAUGCUGCCCCCAGUGGGGUAGAGGGACCCUCUCCAUAGUAGGCCCUCUAGAAGGAAUGGAAAGAGGAGUGAAGCCAGACAAACAGAAAAUGCAGUCCUAGACCUCAGAGAGCUAGCUCUCUGUUGAUCUGGGAGAUAGACACUGUCGCUAAAAAAUAGGUAUUUGGAACAACUUCAUAUGGACAAGAUGACAUGGUUGACCAUUCAUACAUCUUACUCUGCUUAUGGGCACAUUUCCAGUGCGGUUAUCCAGGAAAGGGUUCUCAGCAAGGAUUCCAAGGAACCCAGUGGAGAGUUUCAACCCCAGCCAUGGAAAUUUCAGAAUGCCACUUCCACUGCAUUUUACUGGUUAAGAAAAAACCCAGCACAGAUUCAAGCAAAGAAAAAUUGGACUCCACCUCUCAAUGUGAGGAGUUGCAAAGGAUUUAUUUGUGGCCAUUAUUGGAUCCAUUAUUAAUGUGGCUCAUACAAGAAAGAAGAGAAGGAGCUCAAACCAGCAUAUCUGUGGUCAAAGAAAAAGCCUAGACUCAAUAUUAAAAUAUUAGUAGAUAAAUGCA